AUGGCCAUUCACUCCCGUUGCCGACCGAGCCCCUUGCAACGUGUUUCUCUCGGUCCGUCGCCGUCUCAGGACAACCACGCAACCAGCCAACGAAGAGGCCCCCCCCUCCCCUCUUCCUCCCCGCCCACUUGCCCCCUCCUCUCCCUUUCCGCCACGGAGAUUCUUGCCUCCGCCUCUCCUCUCCGGUCCACACCUGCGGAGGCGCCGCGCAGGCCACAGGAGAGGAGGGGAGGUGGCACCUGUUCCUGUUGGGCUUCUUGUCCUCUCCAGCUCCCCUUUCGCCGUCGCCAUAGAAUAAUAUCGUGGAUUGAACCAGUAAAACUAAUAUCUUUGCUCGUAUUCACCGUGCGUGUUCCACGCCCCAGCCAGCGCCCUCCUUAG
rnacentral:rRNA from 1 species